CAAUUGUUUGAAAAAAGUUCCCUAAUUUUCCCAUCCUAGAUUUUUUUUUUUUUAUCUAGAUUUUACAAGUUGUCAACUAAGCCCAACAUUUUAAGGAAAUAUUUCUCUAAAUAUGAUGCGACAAUUAAUGAAAUACAAACAUGUGGAGUCUGUGCAUGCCUAGUGACUGUGCUGUGUUACCAGUUGAAAUGAAUAAUGAAUCAUAGUAUAUUAAGAGAUCAUUCUAAGUUUUUGUGACACCCAGAGACCCAUUGUAUUGUAUUUACUGCCAUCUGUUCCCUUAAUCCAGACACUCACAUCCUGUAAUCGUCUCCUCUGGUUGUGUACAUAUGAUACGCAAUGUUAAUAUUUGCUGACUCAGGGAGCUGAUGCAGUAUUUAAUAACCACGGAAUGGUAUAUUCAAU